GAUGAACGCUGGCGGCGUGCCUAAUACAUGCAAGUCGAGCGAACAGACGAGGAGCUUGCUCCUUUGACGUUAGCGGCGGACGGGUGAGUAACACGUAGGUAACCUACCUAUAAGACUGGGAUAACUUCGGGAAACCGGAGCUAAUACCGGAUAAUAUUUCGAACCGCAUGGUUCGAUAGUGAAAGAUGGCUUUGCUAUCACUUAUAGAUGGAUCCGCGCCGUAUUAGCUAGUUGGUAAGGUAACGGCUUACCAAGGCAACGAUACGUAGCCGACCUGAGAGGGUGAUCGGCCACACUGGAACUGAGACACGGUCCAGACUCCUACGGGAGGCAGCAGUAGGGAAUCUUCCGCAAUGGGCGAAAGCCUGACGGAGCAACGCCGCGUGAGUGAUGAAGGUCUUCGGAUCGUAAAACUCUGUUAUUAGGGAAGAACAAACGUGUAAGUAACUAUGCACGUCUUGACGGUACCUAAUCAGAAAGCCACGGCUAACUACGUG
rnacentral:rRNA from 1 species